rnacentral:rRNA from 1 species
UAGAGUUUGAUCCUGGCUCAGAUUGAACGCUGGCGGAUGCUUUACACAUGCAAGUCGAGCGGCAGCGCGGUCUUCGGACUGGCGGCGAGCGGCGAACGGGUGAGUAAUACAUCGGAACAUGCCCAGUCGUGGGGGAUAACACUUCGAAAGAAGUGCUAAUACCGCAUACGUCCUGAGGGAGAAAGCGGGGGAUCGCAAGACCUCGCGCGAUUGGAGUGGCCGAUGUCAGAUUAGCUAGUUGGUGGGGUAAAGGCCUACCAAGGCAACGAUCUGUAGCUGGUCUGAGAGGAUGAUCAGCCACACUGGGACUGAGACACGGCCCAGACUCCUACGGGAGGCAGCAGUGGGGAAUUUUGGACAAUGGGGGCAACCCUGAUCCAGCCAUUCCGCGUGAGUGAAGAAGGCCUUCGGGUUGUAAAGCUCUUUCGGCAGGAACGAAACGGCGAGCUCUAACAUAGCUCGCUAAUGACGGUACCUGAAGAAGAAGCACCGGCUAACUACGUGCCAGCAGCCGCGGUAAUACGUAGGGUGCGAGCGUUAACCGGAAUUACUGGGCGUAAAGCGUGCGCAGGCGGUUGUGUAAGACAGGUGUGAAAUCCCCGGGCUUAACCUGGGAACUGCGCUUGUGACUGCACGGCUAGAGUAUGGCAGAGGGGGGUGGAAUUCCACGUGUAGCAGUGAAAUGCGUAGAGAUGUGGAGGAACACUGAUGGCGAAGGCAGCCCCCUGGGCCAAUACUGACGCUCAUGCACGAGAGC